AGCCCCAAGAAUCACACCACCUGCUUGAGGCACAGACACUUGAAGCACAGUUUGUUUAUGAGCUCACGGCUUUAAACCCUGUGCUAGACCCUGAAUAAUCCAGACUACAAAAAGCAGUAAGAACACAGCCCUGUUUGCAGAAUAUUGCCCGAAUUUUUGUCAAUGCCCUUUGCAGGGGUGAUGUUUUCCUCUGGUGUAACACUUGUAACAGUUCAGUCGCUGUACAGUCAGUGCAUAUCCUUGGUGCAGAGACAUGGAAACACUGUGUUGUUUCACAGCUCUGUGUGGGGCCCAUGGGCACUGAUCUAAUUUCACUGCAUCACAACAAAGCAUCUCUAAUAUUACAGCACAACAUACAGUGGAGCUGGAGCCGGCACAGCCACCACACUGCUGAGCAGAGUUAGGAUUUGCUUUUCUACAGAAUAGAUCUGCCUUCUCAUCCUCUUCUUCACGUGAGUGGGAUCCGCAUGGCUCCAGAGCUGUAGCCUGUUCCAGGUCAUUCAGAAAAUGUAGCUCCAGCAGCAGAAGCUUCACAGGUGUCAGAUCCAAAGCAAGACAUAACAGGAUUAGCAGCAUCAACUUUACACAGAUGAAGAUUCCCUCUAGCAAAAGGUGUAUUCUCCAGGCAUCAAUCUGGCCAGUUAAGUUCAUUUUGUAUUGACUGAACUUAAUGGGCUAUAAAAUCUAUUUCACUAUAAGCAAUCCUUAUUCCAACCUAGAAGGUAAAAAUAUUUUCUUCUCUCUCUUUGAAGCCAACAUCAAAAAGU